AGAAGUGAGGAUCAUAGUUCUUGAUAAGGUUAUAAUAAGCCAAGUUUUGAGUCUUAUAAUAUGAAAUAAUCUGUCCAUAUUCCAUGCAAUUAAAUAGGAAGGGAGGGUGGGUUGAAGAGAUGAAAAAUAAACAAAGAAGACGGGUCUAACGUUCGGCAACAACUGCUAAUCAAGCAAGAACAGGUUGUAGCUUUGUUGGGUUGAGAAAAUUGAUAAUUUAUCCUGUCACCAUCUCAACUAGCCAGCUCAUGAAAAAACAAAUAUCUGUCCCAUUUCCAUUGACCCACAUAGAUUUUAUAUGUGAAUCCUGAGAAAAUGAUGCAGAAUUUCUGAAAUUCAGUUUCCAAGUCAAGAUAAUGUUAUGCAUAUACAAAUACAAGUAGUAGUGAGCUGGCUUAAUAAUAAGGUCAAGAUAGAGAGAAACUCAGGUCAUUUGGAGAAGGAAAGAUGGGGGUACAUGCCUCUAAGUAAAGGAAGUUUCAUUAUACAAAUAGAGAUGCAGACAAAUUUGUUAUGGAAUGGAUGAUCUAUUAUUGGUGAUCAUCAAUACAAACUGUACUGUGACAUGGAACACCGACAGAUACACAAUGAAAAGGGGUGCUAAUCCCUUGUCUUAUAAGUUAAAAUCUAGUAGGAAUUCCUAUUCUGUUGGCAACAGGGCACAAGAGGUUAAGGUUUUGAGUUCUGCCAAAUCAUCACCAGCCUUCUUUUCACGCGUUAACAGAUUGGCUGGAUUAUGAGUCCAGGAAGUUAAGGAGAGAUAAUAUGCAAUAUGCACACUCGCAUUCAAAGAUAUCCAUUCUUCUAAACGUGCAAAGGACAGAGACAACUAAUAUACUCCAGAAUUUAGGACAUUGUUGAGAGAGGAUGCAGAAAUAUACUACACUUGAAACUCUCUUAAGAAGACCUGUGUAAUAUCAUUCUUUCCUGUAUGUAAUAGUAAUAUAUUAUCUGGCUUAUUCUGACAUUUUACAUGUCGCAAGCAGAAAAUUAAAAAAUGGAACUCUCAAAAAGACCAGUGUAGUGUAAUGCUAAUUCUUUCCUGUAUGUAGUAAUAUAUUAUCUGA